GCCACGAGCACAUCGAAAAUGGAUUUCACCGCUCUUUCUGCGCACGCGCGAGGAGCAGUAGUUGCGAGGGAGAAAUAUGGGGACUUUUGGUGCUCAAAAUUUCUCUUCGCCUAGGUACUACGGGAAAGAAAGCUGUUAGCUCUGUUUGUCCCUAGCCGAGCUUGCAGCACAGAAUCGACAGGAUGCGUGGGCGGCAAGACGAAAAAGCCGCGUCCGAGAUCCGUAAUGUCGGAUAGCUGCUCUGUGACCGAUGAAGAACAGCGUGCCCGUGAGGAUCACCUUUGCAAACAGAAGCAGGAGUGGGCACGAAAGCAUCGGCGACCAAUUGCAGUAUAUCACAGUGACCACAAAGCAAUGGUUACCAUGGUGACAAAGUAAAUAGAAUAUCAAAGAUAACGAA
rnacentral:lncRNA from 1 species